rnacentral:rRNA from 1 species
AUGGCAAAAAACUGGAGUUUACCUCGGCUUCAGACUAUUGUCAACUGUGGAAAGGAGUGGCUCUUGCAACUGCUGGUGCCAAGAAGUGAGAUGGAACGGUGUAUGCUUCUCCUUGUUUUCUGGAGAGUUUGGUAUAUACGCAAUGAAGUGGUGCAUCAUAAACCAGCGCCUCAGAUGGAUGUAUCAGUAAGAUACUUGCAGAGUUAUCUUGCCUCUCUGGUGGCCAUCAAGAAUGACAGUGGUGCUGAUCCAGUGAAAGGGAAGGCAUACAUUACGAUGGACAGAAGAGUUCAAAAAGAUACGCACAUGGCCAAGCUGCCUAGCUGGGAGAAGCCAAAGCACAAGUGGAUGAAACUAAAUACAGAUGGAGCUUUUAUGGCAUGUGAUAAUGCGGAUGCUGGCAUGAUCUUGAGGGAUGAGUUCGGCAAAAUAAUUUUUUCUGCUUGCAGGGCACUAUAG